rnacentral:rRNA from 1 species
AUUGAACGCUGGCGGCAGGCCUAACACAUGCAAGUCGAACGAGUGGCGGACGGGUGAGUAAUGUCUGGGAAACUGCCUGAUGGAGGGGGAUAACUACUGGAAACGGUCGCUUAUACCGCAUACCAUCCGAUGUCCCCAGAUGGGAUUAGCUAGUUGGUGGGGUAACGGCUCACCAAGGCGACGAUCCCUAGCUGGUCUGAGAGGAUGACCAGCCACAUUGGAACGGAGACACGGUCCAGACUCCUACGGUAGGAGGCAGUGGGAAAUAUUGCAAAAGGGGCGCAAGCCGGAUGCAGCCAUGCGGCGUGUAUGAAGAAGGCUGUCGGGUGGUAAAGUACUUUCAGCGGGGAGGCGGUACCCGCAGAAGAAGCACCGGCUAACUCCGUGCCAGCAGCCGCGGUAAUUC